UACGUAGGUCCCGAGCGUUGUCCGGAUUUAUUGGGCGUAAAGCGAGCGCAGGUGGUUUAUUAAGUCUGGUGUAAAAGGCAGUGGCUCAACCAUUGUAUGCAUUGGAAACUGGUAGACUUGAGUGCAGGAGAAGAGAGUGGAAUUCCAUGUGUAGCGGUGAAAUGCGUAGAUAUAUGGAGGAACACCGGUGGCGAAAGCGGCUCUCUGGCCUGUAACUGACACUGAGGCUUGAAAGCGUGGGGAGCAAACAGG
rnacentral:rRNA from 1 species